UACAGAGGUGGCAAGCGUUGUUCGGAAUUACUGGGCGUAAAGGGCGCGUAGGCGGCCAUCUAAGUCAGACGUGAAAUCCCCCGGCUUAACCUGGGAACUGCGUCUGAUACUGGACGGCUUGAGUAUGGGAGAGGGAUGUAGAAUUCCAGGUGUAGCGGUGAAAUGCGUAGAUAUCUGGAGGAAUACCGGUGGCGAAGGCGGCAUCCUGGACCAUUACUGACGCUGAGGCGCGAAAGCUAGGGGAGCAAACGGG
rnacentral:rRNA from 3 species